GAUGAAGAACGCAGCGAAAUGCGAUAAGUAAUGUGAAUAGCAGAAUUCAGUGAAUCAUCGAAUCUUUGAACGCACAUUGCGCCCCCUGGUAUUCCGGGGGGCAUGCCUGUCCGAGCGUCAUUACAACCCUCAAGCUCAGCUUGGUGUUGGGCCCCGCCGCCCCGGCGGGCCCUAAAGUCAGUGGCGGUGCCGUCCGGCUCCGAGCGUAGUAAUUCUUCUCGCUCUGGAGGUCCGGUCGUGUGCUUGCCAGCAACCCCCAAUUUUUUUCAGGUUGACCUCGGAUCAGGUAGGGAUACCCGCUGAACUUAAGCAUAUCAAUAAGCGGAGGA
rnacentral:misc_RNA from 1 species